GUAACUGACUUGUCUGGAAGUGCCCGUACAUAUCCCAACGCGACUGCUGCAGUAUAGAGCGAGAGAGAUACAUUGUAUAAUUUAAGCUGCUGCUCUUGCUUUUCAUGACAGUGUAGCGUGGCGUGUGUAACUUGUUGUUGUUGGCCUAUAGUAAGUCAUCAAAGCGGUAAUAGGCUACAGUCAUAGAGUCUCCACGUGUGGCAAAAGUUAAGAGAUAUCUAAUCAAUGGAAGAUGGAAUUAAAAUGACGGAAUUAAAUGUUAAAAGAGAAGAAUAGGCUACAACGACCAAAAGUCAAUAGGAUGCUGUCAAGGAGAAGGUGAACUGUCAGCAAGCAGACGGGGAGAGGGAAAGACAGAGGCAGAGAGAGGGAGAGGACCCCAAAUUACAGGAAGAGAGAUGGAAAGACAAAAAGGGAGAGAACGGUGGUCCUUUGGCAGAAGGGACAGUCUGGUCCACAAUUGGGUUUGGAAAUGCCCUCGCUCCGUGUUGGUCUGUCUGUGGGCCUCGGCCAUGAUUGUGGUUCUGUGGGGCUGUAACAGAUCGGACUCUUUCGACUG